AUUGAACGCUGGCGGCAUGCUUUACACAUGCAAGUCGAACGGUAACAGGUUAAGCUGACGAGUGGCGAACGGGUGAGUAAUGCAUCGGAACGUGCCCAGUCGUGGGGGAUAACACUUCGAAAGAAGUGCUAAUACCGCAUACGAUCUGAGGAUGAAAGCGGGGGACCGUAAGGCCUCGCGCGAUCGGGGCGGCCGAUGUCAGAUUAGGUAGUUGGGGGGGUAAAGGCCCACCAAGCCGACGAUCUGUAGCUGGUCUGAGAGGACGACCAGCCACACUGGGACUGAGACACGGCCCAGACUCCUACGGGAGGCAGCAGUGGGGAAUUUUGGACAAUGGGCGCAAGCCUGAUCCAGCAAUGCCGCGUGCAGGAAGAAGGCCUUCGGGUUGUAAACUGCUUUUGUACGGAGCGAAAAGGCUCUCUCUAAUACAGGGGGCUGAUGACGGUACCGUAAGAAUAAGCACCGGCUAACUACGUGCCAGCCGCCGCAGUAA
rnacentral:rRNA from 1 species